rnacentral:lncRNA from 1 species
CCGGUACUUAUACCGUAACAUCGCCAACGAAGAUUGACUGGUGAAAGCCCAAGUUAUCAAUUGUGAAGAAUUGAUUUCUUUUCAGGCAAGCCAGGUUGGCUUUUGUAUUCACCCUUUUUGCUGUUCCUAAUUGCAAAUCGACACCGUUUAAUGUCACUUUUUCCCGCAAUAAUUGUUUACUUUGUUUACGUUUCUUUGAUUUCCGAUCGGCCGAGAUAUUAAGGGAGAAAAGGGAUCGAUACCAUUGAUUGCCUUUCUCGUAGUGUUAAAUGAUGUUUAGGGACAUUUGACUCCUGCGACCAGAAAUCAUUGAAGCGAGAGAAAAUUUUAUGAACGACACGGCCACCCUGGGGUAAGUUUCGGGUAGAUUAAUUAUAUCAGACUGAUGUCGCAUUUGUCUUGUCUUUAAAAGCCAAACUUCAGGAAUUUAGCUUUUCUUUUUCUUUUGGUUGGCUUCGUAAUGACCAGGUUAUGGCUUUUGUUUUCUCAUUUGGAUGGGUGUAGAAUGGGACUUUGGCUUUUUAUCUUCUUUAAAUCAUAGGAGGAAUUACAACCGUGCUUCGUGGUCUGCUACCACAACAGCUCCUUUAUAGGAUCCAGUUAGCUCAAGACAUCAUCAGGAGGAACCACGUCUGGUUUCGGCCCCUACUCCUCCAACGUUUUGACGUGGCGGGGCCCCCCCUUUCGGAGGUGUCUUCAGCUCUGCUGUUGGGUGCAUGUCUUCUUUCUUCUUCUUUCUUCUGUUCCCUAGCCUCUUCGGUUUCGGCCCCUACUCCUCUACGUUUUGACGUGGCGGGGCCCACCCUUUCGGAGGUGUCUUCAUCUCUGGUGUUGGGUACACGUCUUCUUUCUUCUUCUUUCUUCUGUUCCCUGGCCUCUUCGAUGUUUCGUCAGCGAGUGUCAGCCGGUGACUGACUGUCUUGUCGAAUUUCUCCCUUUAAAUUCGACAAGACUUGUACCGUAUGAAGAACACUCCUUUCACUCAUCAUUUCGAACUGUGUAUAUAUGACCACAGACAUUUCCCCACUUCCAAACAGACUAAACACGCAGCUGCACACGUCGGCGCUGACGUGGUUGUGGUAAAAAUCUUGCUUCCCAACCACAUAGUUCUGCGUCCCACUGCGAGUUACCUUGGGUAUGUGUCUUCUACUAAUGAUCUGAGCCGACCAAAGCCUUGCGAGUGGAUUUAAUUAUAUAUAUAUAUAUAUAGGUGUGCAUGUGUUUAUGUAUACAUGUAGAUAGAUACAUAAAUAGAGAGAUAAAUAGAUAGAUAGAUGGAUAUAUCCAUCUAUUUACAGAUAAAUGAAUAAUUUUCUUUCUACGAAUAGCAGUGCUAUUUUGUUACAUAGCUGCACACAUGGUCGUGUAGUAAAACGCUUGUUUCCCAACCACACGGUUCUGCGUUCAGUCCCACUGCGUGUUACCUUGGGUAUGUGUCUUCUACUAAUGUUCUGAGCCGACCAAAGCCUUGUGAGUGGAUUUAAUUGACGGAAACUGAGAGAAGUUUAUCACAUGUUUACUUGAGUUUAAUAAAAACUCGUUUGAAACAGCAACCUUGUGAAGCAAUUACACCAGUCCCAGCAUUCCAGUUACUUUUGGAAUUUGGCCUGGAAGUCGUUUUCCGUAAGCGAGUCAAGGACCUUUUAUGAUUCACUCUGGAUCUCGGUAACAAAAUUAAAUCGACGACCUUUGAGCUGCAUUUUCAUCUUGGUGAAAAGAUGGAUGUCUGUAUGUGCUAAAUCUGGCGAAUAGGGUAAGGUGCAGACGCAACACCAUGUUGUUUUUAGCGAGAAGCACAUGAAUGAGGAGAGCUUGGUGACAGGGUGUAUUGUCGUCAUGAAGAAUUCAAUUCUUCUCGCUCCACAUACCCAACGUCCACCCGGAAAUGCUUCAAAACAUCGCAGUAGAGCUCUCGACUGACAGACCUCCAGGGACGUUCCUCCGUUUUUGAAGCACCCUUGCCACCCGAAACAUUGGUGCAUGUCACUUUGCCUCGUUGUCCUAAACUUGCUGAAGCAUGUUCAAUGUCUGUGUGGCAGACUUCCCAAGUUUAGCGCAAAAUUUCACGUUGGCUCUGUGUUCCUGUCCAAGCUACAGCAUACUCCAACGUCUGGCAGCUGACUUGGCAGACACCCAUAAAAUUAUCAACCAUCUUACAAACAAUAACUCUGAGCACCUUUUCAAACUCCACCCGUCUAACACCCGUGGACAUGUUUACAAAGUCAGAAAACAGCACAGCUCCUUCCAUGACUUCAGGAAACAUUUUUUCACGCUGAGAGUUGCUGAAGCAUGGAACAAACUGCGGGCAUCGGUUGUUAGUUGUCGGAGCACUGCAUCCUUCAAAACUUCCAUGCUUUCUGAGAUUCGCCAACACUACACCUGAUUUUCUCCCCUCCAUACACAUGCAAGCAUCUAUCUGACUCAUACACUGUUCGCUUCCCAGACAUUUGUACAUUACUGCAUAUGCUUUAUAUGCACUUUUGACAAGUUGUGGUGCACCUGAGCACUGUAUACAAUAAUUUCAUUAUUAUUAUUAUACACGUGAUCACAAAAACCCAAGUUUCACAACUUGCGAAGUAAACACAUGAUUCUUUGUUCCCCAUAAAGGGUUUGCAUAGAGGGGACAGCACAACAUGAUUUUGGUGUCAUUUGAUACAAAAUGAUGAUUAAAAAUUUAUAAAUUUAUAUAGGCGCAGGAGUGGCUGUGUGGUAAGUAGCUUGCUUACCAACCACAUGGUUCCGGGUUCAGUCCCACUGCGUGGCAUCUUGGGCAAGUGUCUUCUGCUAUAGCCCCAGGCUGACCAAUACCUUGUGAGUGGAUUUGGUAGAUGGAAACUGAAAGAAGCCCAUCGUGUGUGUAUAUAUAUAUAUAUAUGUAUAGGCGCAGGAGUGGCUGUGUGGUAAGUAGCUUGCUUACCAACCACAUGGUUCAGGGUUCAGUCCCACUGCGUGGCAUCUUGAGCAAGUGUCUUCUGCUAUAGCCCCAGGCCAACCAAUGCCUUGUGAGUGGAUUUGGUAGAUGGAAACUGAAAGAAGCCUGUCGUAUAUAUAUAUAUAUAUAUAUGUAUGUGUGUGUGUGUAUAUGUUUGUGUGUCUGUGUUUGUCCCCCUAGCAUUGCUUGACAACCGAUGCUGGUGUGUUUACAUCCCCGUCACUUAGUGGUUCGGCAAAAGAGACCGAUAGAAUAAGUACUAGGCUUACAAAGUAUAAGUCCCGGGGUCGAUUUGCGUGGCAUCUUGGGCAAGUGUCUUCUGCUAUAGCCUCCGGCCGACCAAAGCCUUGUGAGUGGAUUUGGUAGAUGGAAACUGAAAGAAGCCUGUCGUAUAUAUGUAUGUGUGUGUAUAUGUUUGUGUGUCUGUGUUUGUCCCUCUAGCGUUGCUUGACAACCGAUGCUGGUGUGUUUACGUCCCCGUUAACUUAGCGGUUCGGCAAAAGAGACCGAUAGAAUAAGUACUGGGCUUACAAAGAAUAAGUCCCGGGGUCGAUUUGCUCGACUAAAGGCGGUGCUCCAGCAUGGCCGCAGUCAAAUGACUGAAACAAGUAUAAGAGAGUAUUAUUUAUAUUAGCUUCACAACACAUAUUUUAAACUUUUCUACCACAUGUGGUUUACAAUCCAACGUAUGUAUGUUUAUGUGUGUGUUUAUGAAUCCACACAUUACCGCUUUCCAACAUAUAUCUUAUGCAAUCAUAUAUUUUCUUCCUUUACAGAUGUGUUCAGCGUACCAUUACAACCAACCAGUCAAAGAUACCGAUUCCACCAGGACGUCUGCUGCCAGUCAGUUACAGAUGUUGGCUCUCUCACAUUGCUUUCAUUGUAGAUAACUUCAGCUAACUCUAUUCAUAAUUAUUAACAUAGAUAUACAAGUCGUUUUGUCUACAACAUGUGUGCCACUUGGAGACGUCCCAGCCUGUAAUAGAUAUUCUAGUGUUACAUAGAAAAGAUAUAU